AUUGAACGCUGGCGGCAUGCUUUACACAUGCAAGUCGAACGGUAACAGGCCGCAAGGUGCUGACGAGUGGCGAACGGGUGAGUAAUGCAUCGGAACGUGCCCAGUCGUGGGGGAUAACUACUCGAAAGAGUAGCUAAUACCGCAUACGAUCUAUGGAUGAAAGCGGGGGACCGUAAGGCAUCGCGCGAUUGGAGCGGCCGAUGUCAGAUUAGGUAGUUGGUGGGGUAAAGGCACACCAAGCCAACGAUCUGUAGCGGGUCUGGGAGGGCGACCAGCCACACUGGGACUGAGCCACGGCCCAGACUCCUACGGGAGGCCGCAGUGGGGAAUUUUGGACAAUGGGCGCAAGCCUGAUCCAGCAAUGCCGCGUGCAGGAAGAAGGCCUUCGGGUUGUAAACUGCUUUUGUACGGAACGAAACGGCUCUGGUUAAUACCCGGGGCUAAUGACGGUACCGGAAGAAUAAGCACCGGCUAACUACGUG
rnacentral:rRNA from 1 species